GGGAGAGGCGGGCAGCCCAGGACGCUCAUUGCGGGGGUGCGGGGGUGCUGGGGAAUUACACAUGCAGAGCAGAGCCCGGAGGCCAGCCGGGGGGCGGUGUCCCGACCGCCAACGACCCCGAAACACCCGAGCGCAGAACAGGAAUCCGGGCGAUUGGCUGGCACCCAGGUCCUAGCACUGCGCUCCCAGCCGGGCUUUACCCCCGCCCGGAAUUUCACAAGGACCUGCGGUGCCUGGGCCGCAGAGCCACUCGGGAGCACGGUUCCCUGGCGUCGCAGCUCCGGCGGUGUCCCACUUGCCGCCACUCGGAUGACCGGAUGGCGGUGAUGGAGAUGCACUAAAUGGAGCCGUGGCUCGGGACGGAGUGUGCGCGGGGGCUGCGGGGCGGGUGCAGGCGUCUGCUAUCUCCUCACCAAGAAGCCUGCCGCAUCUUAAAACCACCAGUGUCACGAGCUGUCUUCUGGAAGGUGGAAAUGGGCAGGAUGUGGUUUGAACUGACAAAAAAAUAAAGCAGCCCAUUCCUCAAGAGGGAGUUGGAAGUGAUUGCGAGGCAUGAGAAGGAGGGAGUGUGUCUUUCUGACUUGGAGCCAGCUGGCCAGGCGAGUCGGGACCAGCCACACCGGUUCCUUCGCACCAAGAUGGUAAACAACAACAACAACCAAACACACGCACACAACCACCACCGGAAAGCAAGGCCGAAUGGAUCGACGGUAUUUCUUGUUUGCAAUAGGAAAACGUAUCAAUACAGCAACUUUCACACUGCGGAAGACAUUCACAUACACUUGGUGCUUGCAGCAGCCUGCAGAGAAACGCGGAGCUCGGUCGGAGUUCCCAGGUUCCAGGGAAGGCCGCGGGAUAGGGCAUGCUCGUGCAGAUGGCGAGUCAGAGAGCGUGCCCAGGAAUCCACAAGUCCUGGGGUCUGAUUCAAAUCCAGUGUCUGCUGCUUCUGAAGUCAGGUAAACAGAGCCCCAUUUCAGAGAAAGGAGCAGGUGCCCCCACGGCCCCCCGCAGAAGCCCCUCGUGCCAUCGCAGCAUGCACCACGUGGCACUGUCACGGCCUGGGGACUCCAUCACCGCUUUACCAUGUGCCCCCCUGCCCGGCACCUUGCUGGCCCAUUAAGACACUCAGUGAAGGUCUGGCGACUCAGUAAUGGACUAUAAAUAAUGAAAACACCCAGAGGCCGCUCAUCUCCAAAGAUUCAGGUCCAGAAUUCUCCCCACUACUUUGGGAUCUUGUGGUAGAAAGGUUUUGGCCCUGCCUUCCUAAGCCAGUUAACUAGAAGAAAAGCCCUGGGGUCCGGGGCCCUGUUGGUGGGAAUGUGAACUGGUGCAGCCACCCCGGAAAACUGCAUGGAGGUUCCUCAAAGAGUUAAAAAUAGAGCUACUCUUGACCCAGCAAUUGCACUGCUGGGGAUU